CACGUAGGGGGCAAGCGUUGUCCGGAUUUAUUGGGCGUAAAGAGCUCGUAGGCGGCUCAGUAAGUCAGGUGUGAAACCUCCAGGCUCAACCUGGAGACGCCACCUGAUACUGCUGUGGCUAGAGUCCGGUAGGGGAGCGUGGAAUUCCUGGUGUAGCGGUGAAAUGCGCAGAUAUCUGGAGGAACACCAGCGGCGAAGGCGGCGCUCUGGGCCGGAACUGACGCUGAGGAGCGAAAGCGUGGGUAGCAAACAGG
rnacentral:rRNA from 1 species